UAUUUUUUCACGUGGACGGUUUUAAUUAAAAUUGGGAUUUUGGAGUAGUGGUGAUGUGGCAUCAAAAAUUGGGAUUUAUGGAUAAAUGAGAUCAGACAUCUGAAAUUGGGAGUUAGGGUUUUCAAAUUUAAAUUGGGGAUUUCUUAAACUCGUUGCGAGAGGAAGCGAAAGACGAUCACCCAUUUCAUUGUUGGAGAAGACGAAGACAAUCCAAGCUAUUCUUGACGCGAACAGAGGUAAAGUAUGUCAUUUUCAUUGUUGUAACAUAUAAAUGUGUUUUUCCUUUUAUGAGCAUGUGUGAUAUUUGGGUUUUUUUGUGUCUGUAUGUAUUGAUAAUGAUUUGUGGUCCCAUUUUCCAUGUUGACUGGUUAGAUUGUACUUUAGAGUUUGUGGUCCCAUUUUGCAUGUUGAUAAUGGUUUAUUGAAUUGUUUAUGAGCUGUAGUGGUCCCCUGUCUGUUAGUGUUGGAUUAGUGGGGUUGUAAGUUUGUUCCCUGUCCCCCUGUGUCGGUCUAAGUGUUUAUUUAGAGAGUGAGUGCCCCACUUACUGGUAUCACUGAAAUUAAAAUAAUAUUUGUCUCCCCCCAUAAUGUACAUGUUAAAAAAGAAAGUUUUUGAUAUGGAUGAGGAACAAAUUAAAAUUGUCG
rnacentral:lncRNA from 1 species